GUAGUUUUCUUCCUCUCCUCAGAUUGAAGACACAUACAAAAAGGCUCAUUCUUCCAUCCGGGAGAACCCAGUCCACGAAAAGAAGCCCAAGAGAGAAGUCAAAAAGAAGAGGUGGAAUCGUGCCAAACUGUCUCUGGCACAGAGGAAAGACCGCAUUGCUCAGAAAAAAGCAAGCUUUCUCAGAGCUCAGCAGAAGAUUGCCGACAGCUAAACUGGGCUUCCUGCAAUUUUCUACAAGAGUCUCAUAAAAUAAAUCUAUUGAUGCUAAA